GCUCAAUUUUGAAAUCUCACUGGUCUCCAGUGCGAAUUGUAGUUUCUAGAAACGUUUUCGGGGCCAGCCCGGGUACAAGUCCGUUGGAAUGCGGCAUCAGAGAGGGUGAGAAUCCCGUCUUUGACCCAGUGUCUGGUCCUGUGUGAUACGUUUUCAAAGAGUCGGAUAGUUUGGGAUUGCUGUCCAAAAUGGGUGGUAAAUACCAUCUAAAGCUAAAUAAUGGCGAGAGACCGAUAGCGAACAAGUACCGUGAGGGAAAGAUGAAAAGAACUUUGAAAAGAGAGUUAAACAGUACGUGAAAUUGUCAAAAGGGAAGCGCUUGAAACCAGUAUUGGGUUUAGGAAAUCAGCCGUCCUCUGGGCGGUGCACUUUCCUAGGCCCGGGUCAGCAUCGGUUUGGACCGAGGUAAAAAGCCCGGGGAAGGUAGCCUUUGGUGUUAUAGCCCCGAGUAAUGCCUUGGUCUGGACCGAGGAUUGCAGCCGAUUUUGGGUGACCCGUCGCUCCUGGAAACGCGGACCUGGACAACUUGUUGAUCAGGCUCGUUGCUAAAGGACACGGCGGUUAGCCACACCACGGCUUGGGAUGCUGACGAAAUGGUUUUAAACGACCCGUCUUGAAACACGGACCAAGGAGUCCAACACACACGCGAGUGUUUGGGUGGCAAACCCGAGCGCGUAAUGAAAGUGAAUGUAGGUGGGAUGCUUCGGCUGCACCAUCGACCGGUCUGGAUUUUUUUGAAAGAUCUGAGUAAGAGCGUGUUUGUUGGGACCCGAAAGAUGGUGAACUAUGCCUGAAUAGGGUGAAGCCAGAGG
rnacentral:rRNA from 1 species